rnacentral:rRNA from 1 species
CCUACGGGAGGCAGCAGUGGGGAAUUUUGGACAAUGGGCGAAAGCCUGAUCCAGCCAUGCCGCGUGAGUGAAGAAGGCCUUCGGGUUGUAAAGCUCUUUUAGUCGGAAAGAAAGAGUUGCAAUGAAUAAUUGUGAUUUAUGACGGUACCGACAGAAAAAGCACCGGCUAACUACGUGCCAGCAGCCGCGGUAAUACGUAGGGUGCGAGCGUUAAUCGGAAUUACUGGGCGUAAAGGGUGCGCAGGCGGUCUUGCAAGUCAGAUGUGAAAGCCCCGGGCUUAACCUGGGAAUUGCGUUUGAAACUACAAGGCUAGAGUGCAGCAGAGGGGAGUGGAAUUCCAUGUGUAGCAGUGAAAUGCGUAGAGAUGUGGAAGAACACCGAUGGCGAAGGCAGCUCCCUGGGUUGACACUGACGCUCAUGCACGAAAGCGUGGGGAGCAAACAGGAUUAGAUACCCUGGUAGUCCACGCCCUAAACGAUGUCAACUAGUUGUCGGAUCUAAUUAAGGAUUUGGUAACGUAGCUAACGCGUGAAGUUGACCGCCUGGGGAGUACGGUCGCAAGAUUAAAACUCAAAGGAAUUGACGG